GCUAAUACCCCAUAGGCCUGAGGGUUAAAGCAGAGAUGCGAUAAAGGAGGCGCUCGUGCCCUAUCAGCUAGUUGGUGAGGUAACGGCUCACCAAGGCGAUGACGGGUAGCCGGCCUGAGAGGGCGACCGGCCACACUGGAACUGAGAUACGGUCCAGACUCCUACGGGAGGCAGCAGUGGGGAAUAUUGGGCAAUGGGAGAAAUCCUGACCCAGCAACGCCGCGUGAACGAAGAAGGCCCUUGGGUCGUAAAGUUCUUUUGCGCGGGAAGAAGGAAGUGACGGUACCGCGCGAAUAAGCCCCGGCUAACUACGUGCCAGCAGCCGCGGUAAUACGUAGGGGGCGAGCGUUGUCCGGAAUUACUGGGCGUAAAGGGCACGCAGGCGGCAGCGUAAGUCGGCUGUAAAAAGAUGCGGCUUAACCGUGUUAAGCAGUCGAAACUGCGCAGCUGGAGUACCGAAGAGGCAAGUGGAAUUCCCAGUGUAGCGGUGAAAUGCGUAGAUAU
rnacentral:rRNA from 1 species